CAAAGUGGAUGGGUGAGGCCUAAAGCGAUACGUUUCGGUUUAUAGCAAACUGAGCAGUAUCACACAGGAGUAGACCAGGAGGUCAGCCUUUCUUGCUACAUCAACUGAUAUCACACAUGGCGGUAAGGAGCCGGGAGACCUAAUUGAGAUAGACAGAAAAACAUACCGGCACUGGGCAUUGUUCAUUGGAGAUGGAUAUGUUAUUCACCUCACAAACGAUGACGAUUCUUCUACAAGUGUUGCUGCCAUUGGUGCAUCAUCUGCCUCCGCCGUUGCUAUUGUGAAGAAACAGAAACUGAAGGAUGUAGCAGCUGGUCAUGUAUGGAGAGUGAACAACAGCCUGGAUAAAAAAUGGAAGGCAAAACCCUCAGAUGCCAUCUUGAAAAACGCAGAGCAAAGAGUUGGUGAGAAGAUACGAUAUCGUCUCAUCAAAUACAACUGUGAGCAUUUUGUUACCGAACUACGAUAUGGCCAACCAAAAUCCAGACAGGCUCAGACAGCAAAAUUAGUAGCAGCAGGAGGCUCAGGUGUGGUUCUAGCAGGUGUGCUUGGCGCUAUUGUUGCAGCACUUGUUAGUGUUUUCUCUCCACGCACCUUCUAAUUGAGGAUAACAAGUACAAUAACGCCCUGUAUGUAAUCUCACAAACUGCACACUGCAUCAGCAGCACUCACGUCAUGUGUUAUUGAAUAUACUGCAGUGUAACAUGGGCUAAUGCAUCAAAUUAAUAAAAAAGUAUAAAACACUAAAAGCCUGAAAGUAAACUGCAGUACACAGGAGUUAGAGUGAUAUAGGACCUUUCA